rnacentral:misc_RNA from 1 species
AUGUUUGUGUAUUUCAUUCAUUCAGUUCAACUUGUUCAGGGAACAAAUCGUUUUUCACCGCUGGAACACAUUUACCUGUAGGUUCCCAUGCCGUCACACCUGUAAUUACAUAGCGAGGGAAUGCCAGCGCUAAGAGAGUGUUGACAGUUUAUGAUAUAUAUUUAGUACAGUACAAUAACAACAUAGAAGAAGAAUGUUCAUGGAUCGGCCAGAAUGACUGUGCUUUGUUACAUUAGGAGAAAGAUCCUGGUGGUUCUUGGGGUGUUCACGUCCCUGGGACUGAUCACGGGAAUGGUGACCCCCUGGUGGGUGGUGCUGGUCACCCCUGACAGUCGACUAGUGAACGGACUGUGGUACUCGCUGUCCUGUGAUGUGUCGUCUGGACUAUCUCUCUGUCGGAGUCUUCUUUUGGCUUCGGAAUCAACCUUAGGAAAUUAAUUUAUAUUCGCACAAAGUAUCCACAUCAUACAAAUACAGUCCAACAGAUAUACACACGCUGAAAAAAAGGGGUAGUGUGUGCGCGCCUGGAGUACGGACUGCUGACGCUGUUUGGGACACUGAUCUGUAUGCUGGCCACUGUGUUCCUCAUUUUGUACAACCCCCGGGUGAACACGGUGCAGUCCACCAUCACGGGCGCCCUCACGGUGACGCUUUACGUAAUAUCAGCUAUCUUGACGUGGAUUGCGGUGGGUAAAGCCUGCGCAGACAACGUGCGCCUUAGACGUAACCAGGAUUUAGAUGGCCCCUGGUCCCUUGUAGUAUCGGCAGUGGCAGGAACCAUGCCAAUAUUCCUGGCGGUGGUAAUCUCGUUUAGAAUUCACAAUAAUGUUACAAACAUAAAAAAAGAAAGACGACAAAAGAGGAAGACCCGUCAGUUUUAUGAACAGCGUAGUUGCCAUAGCAGCAUGACGAUGCUGGGUAACACGGGCACCUUGCAGUCCAGUUCCUUACAUUCCAGCGUUCACUCGCUGGACAUCUCGUUUGCCAAUCACCAGGAAGUGAAUUCUUUAAACAGUCUGACCAUGGAGUUCAAGGAGAAUACAAGUAUUUCCAAAAUGUCCAAGUCCCCGAUCAUUAUGGACAAUACAUCACCUAUCUUCCCUGCUGAUAUUAUUCCUUACAAGUUCCCCAACAAUCCGCCAUAUUGAAUUCCGAGUGUAAAUACACGCAAACGUAAGAUAUUCCAAGUUCGAUGUCUUUCACUCAGUCCCGUGUUAGUUUAUGAAAUUGCUAUUCGGUGAUCUUAAAGGAAAAUAAAGAAGUGAUGAUGCUUUAAUUGUUGACAUUUUGAAAAUGACACAUAUGUACAUUGUUUUUGCUUAUUACAUGUAUACGCAUUUAAAUGUAAUCGCAUUUAAAUGUAAUCGUGUACAUAUUGUUGCAAUAUUUACAAAUGGUGCUAUUCAUGGAAUACAUUUCAACAGCCAUUUCAUCUGACGUUUUUUUUUCAGCCGUCCUUUUCAUUACAUUUUGUCGUAUAAACCAUUACGGAUUCUUUUCAUUUUUGAUUAUGUUUUCUUUGAUUUCUACAUUUUUAGUGCUUGGUAUUUGUAUAAAUGAAAUAUGUAAAAUGCCAUUAAACGAAACAAAGUACG